GCAGACAUGGCCGAGUGGUUAAGGCGAUUGACUCGAAAUCAAUUGGGCUCUGCCCGCGUAGGUUCGAGUCCUACUGUCUGAU